rnacentral:lncRNA from 1 species
GACCAACACUGUGACUCCACUGAUCUGAGUCAGAGCCACAAAGGAGGUAGAAUGGAGUUUACCAGGGGCUGGGGAAGAGCACGGAGGGUCAGUGUUAAAUGGGGACAGAUUCCAGUUUGGGAUGAAGAAAACAUUCUGGAGGUGGAUGGUGGUGAUGGCCACACUUCAUGUAGCUAAAGUGUGUACACUUAAAAAUGGCCAAAAUGGUAAAUUUUAUGGGAUGUGUAUUUUACCCCCAUCAUGAGCAAUUUGCAGAGAGAAACUGAUACUGCAAAUAGUUGGCCUGGUUUUAUGGAGGUGUGCUUUCUGUUUCAGGCAAUCCCUCCAUCGAUCACAAACAUAUUCCAGACUUGCUCUAUAUUGGGUAAUUCAGAAGCUCAUGAAAGAAGUGAAAGGCAUGCCCUCCUGCCAGUGGAGUCCAGAGAAGGGUGCACCGGCAUGCGUGUGGGGAAGCAUAAGGUGUCUACAGAAUGAUCAUGUGCUCCUCAUGAUACCUGAUAAAGAGGCAAGGAAACGAAAGAAAGCUGGAGAAUGGGGACAGCUGUGAGGGGAAGGUUGGAGAAAAGGGGUGACCAUUGAAGAUGGCGGCAUUGGCUGGGCCCAAGGCAAGGCUGAGCUAUUGGAAGGAGAGAGCAGAGCAGAACAGUCCUGUGGGAAAAUCAGAGAAACAGGGCUCGAGUGCCAGGCAAAGUGCUUUAGAACUGAAUCACCAAGGGGCCGAUUUUGAAUUGGAAAAUACCAUUCAAAAAACAUUUGUUAGUGUCAGGAGCUGGGAUUUGGAGAGGGAAGCUCAGUUCAGGGUGGCCUGUAUUUUUUGUCUCUGCAGCCACCUUCUUUUGCAGAAUGGGACCAACUCUUUCUACUAUAGAUAGCCUCCUACCUGGGUUUGGAUUCGGCUCUCCAUGUGCUGAACGUAGCUAAAGCUCCCCGGGCCAACCAGCUUCUUCCAGCUUCCCAGCUUUUGUUUUGGCAACACAUUCUAG